AAUCCUGGCUCAGGACGAACGCUGGCGGCGCGCCUAACACAUGCAAGUCGAACGGAGCUGAGAGGAGCUUGCUUUUCUUAGCUUAGUGGCGAACGGGUGAGUAACGCGUGAGUAACCUGCCCUGGAGUGGGGGACAACAGUUGGAAACGACUGCUAAUACCGCAUAAGCCCACGAUCCGGCAUCGGAUUGAGGGAAAAGGAUUUAUUCGCUUCAGGAUGGACUCGCGUCCAAUUAGCUAGUUGGUGAGG
rnacentral:rRNA from 1 species